AAAGCCCGCCGGGCGAUCGCUGGCAGACGCGUGCUGCGAGAGGAACGUCCGGACUCCACAGAGCGGCGUAGCAGGUAACGCCUGCCCACCGUGAGGUGAGGAUCAGAGCAACAGAGACGAGUCGCCGCGCGGCGCGAGCGGCGCGGCGGGUGAAACGGGCAAUCUCUACGCGGAGCAACACCAAGUAGGCAGCCGGGGAUCCUGCUCGGGGAGGCUGCGGGUCGGUGGCUGGAGCCGGCGCGCGAGCGCCGGCCUAGAGGAAUGAUCGCCACGGCGCCAGCGAUGGCGCCGCACAGAAUCCGGCGUACAGGCGGGCUUUGCAC
rnacentral:RNase_P_RNA from 1 species